rnacentral:rRNA from 1 species
CACGUAGGGUGCGAGCGUUGUCCGGAAUUAUUGGGCGUAAAGAGCUCGUAGGCGGUGUGUCGCGUCGGCCGUGAAAACCUGCAGCUUAACUGUGGGCUUGCGGUCGAUACGGGCAUCACUGGAGUUCGGCAGGGGAGACUGGAAUUCCUGGUGUAGCGGUGGAAUGCGCAGAUAUCAGGAGGAACACCGGUGGCGAAGGCGGGUCUCUGGGCAGUAACUGACGC